CUUUCCUAGAAAUGGUGUCUGUUGGGUUGC
rnacentral:piRNA from 1 species